rnacentral:other from 1 species
UGCUUCCUGGUCUAUUUGAUAGCUGAUGAGACCCUCGAGCCGUUAUUGAAUAAUCAGGAGAUUUUGGAAAGUCUUGUUGAGCAAGCCUUCUUGAGGAAGCCUGAUAGGCCAACAAAAUCACCGCCUUGAACUUCACGGUUCAGGGCUACAUCGGCAACGGUACUCCGGGAAGCUC